AGUGGAUGGGGAGCAACCUAGUUGUGCGUGUGUAAAGGUAGUGCCAAGAAAAGCGGUGAUCAUGAUGAAAAUCAAUUCCCGGUACCCGAAACCGACACAGGUGGGCAAGUAGAGAAUACUAAGGGGCGCGAGGUAACUCUCUCCAAGGAACUCGGCAAAAUGACCCCGUAACUUAGGGAGAAGGGGUGCCACCGAGAGGUGGUCGCAGUGAAGAGGCCCAGGCGACUGUUUAGCAAAAACAUAGGUCUCUGCAAACUCGAAAGAGGAGGUAUAGGGGCUGACGCCUGCCCAGUGCCGGAAGGUUAAAGAAGUUGGUCAGUCUUAGGAUGAAGCUAGCGACUGAAGCCCCGGUGAACGGCGGCCGUAACUAUAACGGUCCUAAGGUAGCGAAAUUCCUUGUCGGGUAAGUUCCGACCCGCACGAAAGGCGUAACGAUCUGGGCGCUGUCUCGGAGAGAGGCUCGGCGAAAUAGGAUUGUCUGUGAAGAUACGGACUACCUGCAUUUGGACAGAAAGACCCUAUGAAGCUUUACUAUAGCUUGGAAUUGUGUUCGGGCUUCCUGUGCGCAGGAUAGGUGGGAGGCGUAGAAGGUAUUCUUGUGGGGAUACUGGAGCCAACGGUGAGAUACCACUCUCAGGAGGCUAGAAUUCUAACUUAAUUAAGGACAGUUUCAGGUGGGUAGUUUGACUGGGGCGGUCGCCUCCAAAAAGGUAACGGAGGCGUACAAAGGUUCCCUCAGACUGGUUGGAAAUCAGUCGCAGAGUGCAAAGGCAGAAGGGAGCUUGACUGCGAGAAGUACAGUUCGAGCAGGGUGGAAACACGGUCUUAGUGAUCCGACGGUCCUGUGUGAAAGGGCCGUCGCUCAACGGAUAAAAGUUACUCUAGGAUAACAGGCUGAUCUCCCCCAAGAGUUCACAUCGACGGGGAGGUUUGGCACCUCGAUGUCGGCUCAUCGCAACCUGGGGCCGAAGUACGUCCCAAGGGUUGGGCUGUUCGCCCAUUAAAGCGGUACGUGAGCUGGGUUCAGAACGUCGUGAGACAGUUCGGUCCAUAUCCGAUGUAGGCGUGAGAAUAUUGAGAGGAGCCUUCCUUAGUACGAGAGGACCGGGAAGGACGCACCGCUGGUGUACCUGUUAUGAUGCCAAUUGUAAACGCAGGGUAGCCAAGUGCGGAGAGGAUAACCGCUGAAAGCAUCUAAGUGGGAAGCCCACCUCAAGAUGAGUAUUCUGGUGUAAGGUCACGGGAAGACGACCCGUAAAUAGGCACGAGGUGGAAGUGCAGAGAUGUAUGAAGCCGAAGUGUACUAAUAGACCGUCGGCUUGACC
rnacentral:rRNA from 1 species